AUUGAGUGGAGGUAGCAGUGUAUACGAGUGGAAGGAGGGGGGCAGUGUAUUGGAGUUGGGGGCACUGUAUUGGAUUUGUGGGCAGUGUAUUAAAUUUGUUGGUAGUGUAUUAGAAUGGGGGGGGAGGUGUGUAUUGAAUUGGGUCUGCAUGGAGGCGCUGAGCCCUCCCAAUGGAGAUGCUGAUAGGUGUUGUAUAAUUCUUCUCUCACCACCAGUCCUUUCAAUUGGUAUCCUUUCGAGAGAAAUCCACUCUGUGUUGUGUAUUAAUAGUGAAUGUAAUAUCCCGGUGUCACCUCUUCCAAGAACUAACAUAUAUCUUUAUCACCCUGUCCAGAUAAAUAUAUGACUAGCACUACUAAGGUAUUCUACCCGAUAUUACAAAUAAACAGCCAACACCAUAGUUCUUACCAGAGAGAAAUCUUUACUUAGAAUCUGCCCAGUUAAAUAUUACAAAAGAAGAAUGUUACAGAGUUAUAGUUAAAAUACAUUCAUAACACUCAUACAUUCCACCUAUCUAAUAAUAUCUGCUACAUUGUGUAUGUGCUGUUAGAUGUUAUGUGCAGCAUGUGUGUCUUACCAAACCCCAAUCUCAUGUGAUUUCAGUAUCUUCUAUUUUUAAAUGAAUUGGUUCCCAUGCUGUAAAUAGCAAAUUCCUUAGCUCAAUUGAUAUGUAAAUGUAAUUUACUUUCCCAAGGCCCAAAGUGUUGUCUAUCCUGUUAUUUUAUUUAAGUGUUAACCCCCUUUGCCUCUAACCUAAGGUGUGUUUUCCUAGAUAGAGACUCCUUUGAUAUGUAAAUGUGAUCGGUGCCUUUCAGGUGCUGUAUCUUUCCAACUAUCUAAACAGAAACUCCCUUUGAAGAUAAUUCCUGGUCUCCCAUACACACAGACUUAAUCAAGCCCAUAUUAAUCAGAUAUAUAUAAUCAUAAUAUGUUCCCCAACAAUAGGCUGCGCCGCUUUUUGCCACACAUGCACAAUAGCCUCCCAAUGCUUUCCUAAGGGAAAGCAUUGGAUUGGCUGAGGUCAUCAAGUUUGAUGAUCUCAGCCUAAGUGAAGAACACACUCAUAGAACUUAAAAAUCAACAAGAUAACGUCAUUAGAUUUUUCACAACUGUGCAACAGCAUACAUUCACCAUUUCAGUCCCAUUACCAAACUUUUCUUAAUAUGUCACGGUAGUGGGACUGAAACAUUGGUUAUAUGCAAAUGCACGUCUCCUUAAAAUAAAUUUGCU